GCUCUCCGUUUGUAUGCUGUGAAAAUAUUUGCUUAUUUUUUAUUGAUUUUUCGAAAUCUGGAUUCGAGAUCCUUUAUUACAGUGUAUUCGAUGGCCUUUUAUAGCUAUGAUAAUAAAUCAAAGAAAGAAAAAAUCUGUUGAUAUCUUUGAUUCGCAAAUCCAUGAUUUUUCUUUCCAUAUGUUGUUUGUUGCUUUUUUUGUGUGCAAAUGAAGAUCCAGGGAGGCGGCCAUGCGAAGAUCCUAGUUGCGGCGCGAGUUCAUCUCAGAAACCCUAGGGUUUCUAUCACUGUUUUGGGCUUACCAGAUUCGGGCCGUUGCUUUAUUUUAAUUUGGGCUUUGUAUUCUGGGCCACCUCAUUUCGUUUUGGACUUGGACUCUUUUUAUUUAUUAAAGGCCGGGCAAAAAAU
rnacentral:lncRNA from 1 species